rnacentral:misc_RNA from 1 species
GUUCUCCACAAAGCAGAGAAAAAGCAAAGGUUCGAUUUCACGUUUGCUUAUUUUCUGUAUUUUGUAUUCUCACAUGUCUAGAAAUGUUCGUUAUUAUAAACCCUAGAAGUAAUUUAUGCAAAAUGCUACCUCUCUUCAUCUAAUGCUUUGGAUUUGAAAUCAAAAUAGAUCUCUCUUGUUUGGGAGUUUGUGUAAUUUUAGCCAUGCAUGUAUUGUUUUGUCAUAAUGGAGUCAUGGGCAAGCGGCAUUUUGAAGGAGGCAGGCAUUUGUUUGUUCUUUUAGCUUGGAAACACUUUGGACCUUUUCAAUGAUGCAAGAAUAUGGCUAAUUUAUGAUUUUCAUGUUCAAGUUCAUUAUUAACCGCUAGGCAGCUCCG